GAUGAAGAACGUAGCGAAAUGCGAUAAGUAAUGCGAAUUGCAGAAUUCAGUGAGUCAUCGAAUCUUUGAACGCACAUUGCGCCCUUUGGUAUUCCGAAGGGCAUGCCUGUUCGAGCGUCAUUAUCCUCCCUCAAACCCCGGGUUUGGUGUUGGACCCAAGUUGUGUGAACAACUGGUCUCAAAGACAAUGACGGCGUCCGUGGGACCCUCGGUGCAACGAGCUUUUAGGAGCACGCAUCGAGUUGCAAGGACCUUCCGGGCCGGUCUCCUUUACCAUUUUACAAGGUUGACCUCGGAUCAGGUAGGAAUACCCGCUGAACUUAAGCAUAUCAAUAAGCGGAGGA
rnacentral:misc_RNA from 1 species